rnacentral:rRNA from 1 species
GAUGAACGCUGGCGGCGUGCUUAACACAUGCAAGUCGAACGGGAAACCUUUUAUUGAAGCUUCGGCAGAUUUAGCUGGUUUCUAGUGGCGGACGGGUGAGUAACGCGUGGGUAACCUGCCUUAUACAGGGGGAUAACAACCAGAAAUGGUUGCUAAUACCGCAUAAGCGCACAGGACCGCAUGGUCCGGUGUGAAACACUCCGGUGGGAUAAGAUGGAGCCGCGUUGGAUUAGCUAGUUGGCAGGGUAACGGCCUACCAAGGCGACGAUCCAUAGCCGGCGUGAGAGGGUGAACGGCCACAUUGGGACUGAGACACGGCCCAGACUCGUACGGGAGGCAGCAGUGGGGAAUAUUGCACAAUGGGGGAAACCCUGAUGCAGCGACGCCGCGUGAAGGAAGAAGUAUCUCGGUAUGUAAACUUCUAUCAGCAGGGAAGAUAGUGACGGUACCUGACUAAGAAGCCCCGGCUAACUACGUG